rnacentral:rRNA from 1 species
UCUUGCGCAAUGGGCGAAAGCCUGACGCAGCGACGCCGCGUGGGGGAUGAAGGCCUUCGGGUUGUAAACCCCUUUCAGGAGGGAAGAUGGGACGGGCAACCGCUCGGACGGUACCUUCAGAAGCAGCCACGGCUAACUCUGUGCCAGCAGCCGCGGUAAGACAGAGGUGGCAAGCGUUGUUCGGAUUUACUGGGCGUAAAGGGUGCGUAGGUGGUUAGGUAAGACCUGCGGGAAAGACCUGGGCUUAACCCAGGAAGGUCGUAGGUGACUGCCUGGCUAGAGGGCGGGAGAGGAGAGCGGAAUUCCCGGUGUAGCGGUGAAAUGCGUAGAGAUCGGGAGGAAGGCCGGUGGCGAAGGCGGCUCUCUGGAACGUUCCUGACACUGAGCACGAAG